CUACGGAACUCCUACGGGAGGCAGCAGUGGGGAAUAUUGGACAAUGGGCGAAAGCCUGAUCCAGCAAUGCCGCGUGAGUGAUGAAGGCCUUAGGGUUGUAAAGCUCUUUUACCCGGGAUGAUAAUGACAGUACCGGGAGAAUAAGCUCCGGCUAACUCCGUGCCAGCAGCCGCGGUAAUACGGAGGGAGCUAGCGUUGUUCGGAAUUACUGGGCGUAAAGCGCACGUAGGCGGCUACUCAAGUCAGAGGUGAAAGCCCGGGGCUCAACCCCGGAACUGCCUUUGAAACUAGGUAGCUAGAAUCUUGGAGAGGUCAGUGGAAUUCCGAGUGUAGAGGUGAAAUUCGUAGAUAUUCGGAAGAACACCAGUGGCGAAGGCGACUGACUGGACAAGUAUUGACGCUGAGGUGCGAAAGCGUGGGGAGCAAACAGGAUUAGAAACCCGGGUAGUCCUCUUCGA
rnacentral:rRNA from 1 species